CCUACGGGUGGCAGCAGUGAGGAAUAUUGGUCAAUGGGCGUAAGCCUGAACCAGCCAAGUCGCGUGAGGGAUGAAGGUUCUAUGGAUCGUAAACCUCUUUUAUAAGGGAAUAAAGUGCGGGACGUGUCCCGUUUUGUAUGUACCUUAUGAAUAAGGAUCGGCUAACUCCGUGCCAGCAGCCGCGGUAAUACGGAGGAUCCGAGCGUUAUCCGGAUUUAUUGGGUUUAAAGGGUGCGUAGGCGGCCUUUUAAGUCAGCGGUGCCAGUCUGUGGCGCAACCCUAGAAUGGCCGUUGAAACGGGGAGGUGGGAGUAUGUUUGAGGCAGGGGGAAGGCGGGGGGUAGGGGUGAAAUGCUUAG
rnacentral:rRNA from 1 species